rnacentral:rRNA from 1 species
AUUGAACGCUGGCGGCAGGCCUAACACAUGCAAGUCGAGCGGAUGAAGGGAGCAUGCUCCUGGGUUCAGCGGCGGACGGGUGAGUAAUGCCUAGGAAUCUGCCUGGUAGUGGGGGAUAACGUCCGGAAACGGGCGCUAAUACCGCAUACGUCCUGAGGGAGAAAGUGGGGGAUCUUCGGACCUCACGCUAUCAGAUGAGCCUAGGUCGGAUUAGCUAGUUGGUGGGGUAAAGGCCUACCAAGGCGACGAUCCGUAACUGGUCUGAGAGGAUGAUCAGUCACACUGGAACUGAGACACGGUCCAGACUCCUACGGGAGGCAGCAGUGGGGAAUAUUGGACAAUGGGCGGAAGCCUGAUCCAGCCAUGCCGCGUGUGUGAAGAAGGUCUUCUGAUUGUAAAGCACUUUAAGUUGGGAGGAAGGGCAGUAAGUUAAUACCUUGCUGUUUUGACGUUACCAACAGAAUAAGCACCGGCUAACUUCGUG